rnacentral:rRNA from 1 species
AUUGAACGCUGGCGGCAGGCCUAACACAUGCAAGUCGAACGGCAGCACAGAAGAGCUUGCUCUCUGGGUGGCGAGUGGCGGACGGGUGAGUAAUGUCUGGGAAACUGCCCGAUGGAGGGGGAUAACUACUGGAAACGGUAGCUAAUACCGCAUAACGUCGCAAGACCAAAGUGGGGGACCUUCGGGCCUCACACCAUCGGAUCGGCCCAGAUGGGAUUAGCUAGUAGGUGUGGUAAUGGCUCACCUAGGCGACGAUCCCUAGCUGAUCUGAGAGGAUGACCAGCCACACUGGAACUGAGACACGGUCCAGACUCCUACGGGAGGCAGCAGUGGGGAAUAUUGCACAAUGGGCGCAAGCCUGAUGCAGCCAUGCCGCGUGUAUGAAGAAGGCCUUCGGGUUGUAAAGUACUUUCAGCGGGGAGGAAGGCGGUGAGGUUAAUAACCUUGCCGAUUGACGUUACCCGCAGAAGAAGCACCGGCUAACUCCGUGCCAGCAGCCGCGGUAAGAC